UACGGAGGGAGCUAGCGUUGUUCGGAAUUACUGGGCGUAAAGCGCACGUAGGCGGCUUUGUAAGUUAGAGGUGAAAGCCUGGAGCUCAACUCCAGAACUGCCUUUAAGACUGCAUCGCUUGAAUCCAGGAGAGGUGAGUGGAAUUCCGAGUGUAGAGGUGAAAUUCGUAGAUAUUCGGAAGAACACCAGUGGCGAAGGCGGCUCACUGGACUGGUAUUGACGCUGAGGUGGCGAAAAGCGUGGGGGAGCAAACAGG
rnacentral:rRNA from 1 species